UCGGAUCGCAGGCUGCAACCCGCCUGCGUGAAGUUGGAAUCGCUAGUAAUCGCGGAUCAGCAUGCCGCGGUGAAUACGUUCCCGGGCCUUGUACACACCGCCCGUCACACCAUGAGAGUCGGGAACACCCGAAGUCCGUAGCCUAACAGCAAUGGGGGCGCGGCCGAAGGUGGGUUCGAUAAUUGGGGUGAAGUCGUAACAAGGUAGC
rnacentral:rRNA from 1 species